CUGUAACGAUGUCGAUUUGGAGGUUGUUCCCUUGAGGAGUGGCUUCCGGAGCUAACGCGUUAAAUCGACCGCCUGGGGAGUACGGCCGCAAGGUUAAAACUCAAAUGAAUUGACGGGGGCCCGCACAAGCGGUGGAGCAUGUGGUUUAAUUCGAUGCAACGCGAAGAACCUUACCUACUCUUGACAUCCAAAGAAUUUAGCAGAGAUGCUUUAGUGCCUUCGGGAACUCUGAGACAGGUGCUGCAUGGCUGUCGUCAGCUCGUGUCGUGAAAUGUUGGGUUAAGUCCCGCAACGAGCGCAACCCUUAUCCUUUGUUGCCAGCACGUUAUGGUGGGAACUCAAAGGAGACUGCCGGUGAUAAACCGGAGGAAGGUGGGGAUGACGUCAAGUCAUCAUGGCCCUUACGAGUAGGGCUACACACGUGCUACAAUGGCGUAUACAAAGAGAAGCGACCUCGCGAGAGCAAGCGGAACUCAUAAAGUACGUCGUAGUCCGGAUUGGAGUCUGCAACUCGACUCCAUGAAGUCGGAAUCGCUAGUAAUCGUAGAUCAGAAUGCUACGGUGAAUACGUUCCCGGGCCUUGUACACACCGCCCGUCACACCAUGGGAGUGGGUUGCAAAAGAAGUAGGUAGCUUAACCUUCGGGAGGGCGCUUACCACUUUGUGAUUCAUGACUGGGGUGAAGUCGUAACAAGGUAACCA
rnacentral:rRNA from 1 species